rnacentral:rRNA from 1 species
UACGGAGGGGGCUAGCGUUGUUCGGAAUUACUGGGCGUAAAGCGCGCGUAGGCGGCUUUGUAAGUUAGAGGUGAAAGCCCGGGGCUCAACCCCGGAACUGCCUUUAAGACUGCAUCGCUUGAAUCCAGGAGAGGUGAGUGGAAUUCCGAGUGUAGAGGUGAAAUUCGUAGAUAUUCGGAAGAACACCAGUGGCGAAGGCGACUACCUGGCCUGUUCUUGACGCUGAGGCGCGAAAGCGUGGGGAGCAAACAGG